rnacentral:rRNA from 2 species
CACGUAGGCACCAAGCGUUGUCCGGAUUUAUUGGGCGUAAAGAGCUCGUAGGCGGUUGAGUAAGUCGGGUGUGAAAACUCUGGGCUUAACCCAGAGCCGCCACCCGAUACUGCUCUGACUUGAGUUCGGUAGGGGAGCAGGGAAUUCCUAGUGUAGCGGUGAAAUGCGCAGAUAUUAGGAGGAACACCGGUGGCGAAGGCGCUGCUCUGGGCCGAAACUGACGCUGAGGAGCGAAAGCGUGGGUAGCAAACAGG